UACGAAGGGGGCUAGCGUUGUUCGGAAUUACUGGGCGUAAAGGGUUUGUAGGCGGUUGAACAAGUCAGUGGUGAAAGCCCAGAGCUUAACUCUGGAAUUGCCAUUGAAACUGUUCAGCUCGAGAGUGUUAGAGGAAAGUGGAAUUCCUAGUGUAGGAGUGAAAUCCGUAGAGAUUAGGAGGAAUAUCGAUGGCGAAGGCAGCUUUCUGGGACAUUUCUGACGCUGAGAAACGAAAGCGUGGGUAGCAAACAGG
rnacentral:rRNA from 1 species